UUCCUCAGGCAUAGGUGCCGUCUUCACUCAGGUAUGGUGGGCCACGGACUUUCGUUCUGGCAUUGCAAGGCAGAAGGAGUGGUCAAGGAGUUCCGUCGUGGCUCGGUGGUUAAUGAAUCUGACUAGUGAACCACAAGAUUGCAGGUUCAAUCCCUGGCCUCGCUCAGUGGGUUAAGUAUUCAGCGUUGCCGUGAGCUGUGGUGUAGGUUGCAGGUGCAACUUGGAUCCUGAGUUGCUGUGGCUCUGACAUAGGCCAGUGGCUACAGCUCUGAUUAGACCCCUAGCCUGGGAACCUCCAUAUGCCACUGGUGCACCCCUAGAAAAGGCAAAACAAAAAAACAAAAAAAAGAAGAAGGAGUGGUCAAGAUUACUAAAUACGGUCCUGUCCACUUGGGGUCUAACUGCUCUUAUGGAUUUCCAGGCUUCCAAAUAAACCCAAUCCUAGGGGACAAAAGAUGUGAAUCCAUAUCAGAAGAGAGAGGCAGUUCUGGAUUCCUGAGGUAUUCAUUGAAGACUGAGUAAGUGUGGAGUUUCCAUCGUGGCUCAGUGGUAAUGAAUCCGACUAGUAUCCAUGAGGACCCAAAUUCGAUCUCUGCCCUCACUCAGUGGAUUAAGGAUCCAGUGUUGCUAUGAGCAGUGGUGUAAGGUUGCAGAUGCAGCUUGGAUCUUGCAUAGGCCAGCAGCUGCAGCUCUUUAUUGGACUCCUGCAUGUGCUACAGGUGCAGCUCUAAAAAGCAAAACCAAAACC
rnacentral:lncRNA from 1 species